rnacentral:pre_miRNA from 1 species
AGGCAGUGUAAUUAGCUGAUUGUGCUGUUGUGCUUACAAUCACUAACUCCACUGCCAUC